UGUUAGCUCAAAUGGUAGAGUGCUGCACCGGUAUCACAGAGGUCAAGGGUUCGAAUCCCGUA
rnacentral:tRNA from 1 species